rnacentral:misc_RNA from 1 species
AGAAGUAGAGGAAUAAGCAGACAAAGGAGGUGAAGAAGAAGAAGAAGAUGAAUAAACACCAGCUGGAGAAAUAACACCAAUACCUCCAUAACUAGAUGUUAUUGCACCUCCUAAACCAGCCCCAUGGUCACCAGCUCUUUGACCUGAUAUCACUUGAGUAAGAGCUGAUACCAUUGCAGACAUCUCCCUUGCACUGCCAUAACCAGGAAACAUAGUUGCCGAUUGCGCGACGACUUGUAUUGGCUGAUUUAACACGGAUUCUGAGGUUACAGUUUGUGUAUAUCUCUCUUCUUGGUUAUCAUCUCCGCUUUCUGUAGUAGCAGGGUACUUGAUGUACUCGCCUGAGUCUCCCUGGUUCGCCACCUUCAAAAUCAACAAGCACAUGUAAUAUUAGAUAGAGAGAGAGGGUUUUUAUUGUUUU